GAGUUUUAACCUUGCGGUCGUACUCCCCAGGCGGUGUGUUUAUCGGUUUCCUGCGACACUGAAAAUAAAUUUCCAACGUCUAACACACAUCGUUUACGGCAUGGACUACGAGAGUAUCUAAUCCUCUUCGCUACCCAUGCUUUCGUUCCUCAGUGUCAGUAAUGAUCCAGAAAGCUGCCUUCGCAAUUGGUAUUCUUUCUAAUAUCUACGAAUUUCACCUCUACACUAGAAAUUCUGCUUUCCUCUAUCAUACUCUAGCUGAAAAGUUUUGAUGGCAGUUCCAGAGUUAAGCUCUGGGAUUUCACCACCAACUUUUUCAACCACCUACGAACUCUUUAAGCCCAGUAAUUCCGAACUACGCUAGGUCCCUUCGUAUUACCGCGGCUGCUGGCACGAAGUUAGCCGGACCUUCUUAUUCGGGUACAGUCAUUUUCUUCCCCGACGAAAGAGCUUUACAACCCAAAGGCCUUCUUCACUCACGCGGCAUCGCUGCAUCAGAGUUUCCUCCAUUGUGCAAGAUUCCCCACUGCUGCCUCCCGUAGGAGUUUGGGCCGUGUCUCAGUCCCAAUGUGGCUGAUCAUCCUCUCAAAUCAGCUAUUGAUCAUAGUCUUGGUAGGCCAUUACCCUACCAACAAACUAAUCAAGUGCGGGCUCAUCCAAUGGUGCAUAAAGCUUUCUCCGUAAAGACUUAUCCGGUAUUAGCACAAGUUUCCUCGUGUUAUUCCAGGCCAAAGGGUAGAUACCCACAUGUUACUCACCCGUCUGCCACUAAGUAUUGCUACUUCGUUCGACUUGCAUGUGUUAGGCGUGCCGCCAGCGUACGUUCUGAGCCAGGAUCAAACUCU
rnacentral:rRNA from 1 species